rnacentral:rRNA from 1 species
GUUGUUAAGGAACUCGGCAAAAUGACCCCGUAACUUAGGAUAAGGGGUGCCACCAUCAGGUGGCCGCAGAGAAUAGGCCCAAGCGACUGUUUACCAAAAACAUAGGUUUCUGCUAAGUCGCAAGACGAUGUAUAGGAGCUGACGCCUGCCCGGUGCUGGAAGGUUAAGGGGAUCUGUUAGAGCAAUCGAAGCAGUGAACUUAAGCCCCAGUAAACGGCGGCCGUAACUAUAACGGUCCUAAGGUAGCGAAAUUCCU